rnacentral:lncRNA from 10 species
CAAACACAUACACACACACACACACACACACACACACACACACACAGAGGGAAGAAGGGCAUAUGAAGACUGACGCAGAUUGGAGUAAUGUAGCUAUAGCCAAGGAACACCAAGAAUUGCUGGGAUCUGCUAGAAGCCAGGAGAGCAGCUGGGAGAUGAUUUCUCUUUCAGAGCCUCCAGAAGGAACUAACCCUAUGGCCACCUUGAUUUAGGACUUCUGGCCUCUUGGACUAUGAGCCUGCAUCUAUGACUUCAUGGGAACUUCCCUGCGAUCAGCUGACAGAGAAAGAGAAGACUUAGGCCUGGUUUACAGAGGAUUCUGUAUGAUAUGCAGGUACCACCCAAAAGUGGACAGCUGCAGCACUACAGCUCAUCUCUGGGCUACCUUGAAGGACAGUGGUGAAGGGAAAUCCUCCCAGUGGACAGAAUUUUGAGCAGUCCCCCUGGUUGACUUUGCUUAGAAGGAAAAAUGGCUAGAUAUUCAAUUAUAUGCCAAUUCAUAGGCUGUGGCCAGUGAUUUGGCUGGAUGGUCAGGGAGUUGAACGUAACUGGAAAAUUGGUGACAAAGAAAUUUGGAGAUGAGGUGUGUGGAUAGAUACUGAAUGGGCAAAAAGGGUGAAGAUAUUUGUGCCCUAUGUGAAUGCUCACCAAAGGGUUAGCAAAGAAGGAUUUUAAUAAAGUGGACAAGAUAACCUGUUCUGUGGAUACCAGUAGGCCUCUUUCUCCAGCCACCCCAUCAUCACUCAGUUGUCUCAUGAACAAAGUAGCCAUGGUGACAAGGAUAGAGGUUGUGCAUGGGCUCAGCAAUGUGGACUUCUACUCACUGAGGCUGACCUGGCCAAGGCUACCUAUGAGUCCCCCGUCUGCCAGCAGCAGAGACCAACACUGAGCCCCUGAUUAUGACACCAUUCCCUAGAGUCAUCAGUCAGCUGCCUAGUGGCAGGUUAAUUACAUUGAUCCACCUCCAUCGUUGAAGGGAUAGUGUUUUUUCCUUACUGAAAUAGCGCUUACUCUGGAUACAGAUUUGCUUUCCCUUCGCGCCAUGCUUCUACUAAAACUACCAUCCGUGGACUUACAGAAUGUCUCAUCUACGACCAUGGUAUUCCACACAGCAUUACAAGGAACUCAGUUCACAGCAAAAGUGUGGCAGUGGGCCCAUGCUCAUGGAAUUAACUGGUCUUACCAUGUUCCCUACUAUCCUGAAUCAACUGGCUACAUAGAGCAGUGGAAUGACAUUUUGAAGACAGUAAUCGCACCAGCUAUAUAGCAGUGCCUUGUAGGGCUGGGACAAGGUUCUCUAGAAGGCUGUCUAUGCUCUGAAUCAGCAUCCAGUAUAUGGUGCAUUUCUCUUAAGACUGGGAUUCACAGGUUCAGGAAUCAAGGGGUCAAAGUAGGUGGGACACCAUUCGCUAUUAGCCCUAGUGACCCACUAGUACAAUUUUUGCUUCCUGUUCCC